AUGCUGACCGUGACCUUGAGCAGACUGAGUCCCACUCUAUCAGCCAGGCUGGAGUGCAGUAGCAUGAUCUCAGCUCACUGCAACCUUAUUCUCCUGGGUUCAAGCGAUCCUCAUGCCCAGGCUGCAUGCUUUAAAGCUGCCCAGGUGAGUUGGUGGCGUGGCUGGGUUGGGAACCACUAUCACAGGAAUAGGAACACUUGUCCAAGGCGCUUAUGGUUGGUUUGUGCAUUCCCUUGCUGACAGCAUCCAGAUUUUAGCCACUUCAUCAGAAGAAAGUGAUUAGUCAGGAUUAGCUGAGCUCAAUGCUGCAAAAAAGAAAAACAAGCACCUUCUCAUAGACCAAUGAGCGCACGCACAUAGCCCAUGGCGCAGAGGUAGAUGUCUUAACUAUGUAAGUAGACAUUUCCCAAUAUGUAAGUAGACAUAUUGGGAAAUUUUUCAAUUUUUGUCCUCCCAGAAUUUCAAAAGCAGUAUUUUACAUGUUCUUGACUUAGGGCAGCCAAUUUUCACUAAUGAGCCCUGCAGGAGGUGAUCCGAUACAAACCCUCAUCCAUGACACACUGCCACCCCCCAGCACUGCAUAGGCGUCUUCCAUUAGGAGCUCACUGCCGCCCUAGUUGACACAUCAUCCCCAUUUCACAGAUGAGGCACAGUAAGGAACUUGCCCAAAGGCACACAGCUACCAAGCGGGGAGCCUGUCUGACUCGCCUGCUUCUUAUCUCCGAUGAAAAAGACAAGAGCUAGGCAAUGCGCCCCAUGUCACAAAUACUACGUUCAUCGAGGGGAACCAUCUGACACCAGGCCCUGAGUAAGGACAGGCAAGCGUGAGGUGCUGGAGGGUGCUGCACUGGGUGGGACUGGACUAGACGUGGCCACCCCAUCUACAGAGAGUGCAGCCUUAACAGUGAACAGGCCCCUCCCACUGGGGGUCACCUAACAUGACACAGCAACCCUGGUCUACAAAAUAACUAAGUCUAAAACUUCUCACCCUGUCUCCUAUGCUGAAAAUUCAAAUACUGAAAGGUCUGGUUCAAGACUGGAGCCAGUGACAAAUCCUCUCCCUGGAGGUCUGCAGCCAACUUCCGCCCUCCUUAGGGCCCCCAGAUUCACGGUUUGCUGGAGGCUGGAGAGGCAGGUUCCAGAUCUGCUGCCUGCCAACUGUGUGACCACGUGUAAAUUACUUUACUCUGAAAAAAAGGAAGGACAUCUAUGGUUCUAUGCUUGGGAGAGGGUGAAACAAAACUUAUGAAUGUUCCUGGCACAAGGCUCAGCCCAGGAUGAAACCACCGUGAAUGAGAAAUCAUAAUGGAACUGUGCAUGUUCUCCACCAGAAAUCUCACCAAAAUGCAAGGCAGUCCCAAACCUGGGCUGAUUGAGGUGAACACUCACAGUGGUAGGGGCAGGAGGGCAGAUGAAAACCAUUUGUAGUAUAUUUGCAGGAGGAAGAUCCUGCUCCUGCACAGAAAUUCCACCAGGUGGCGCCAUGGGAGAACUUUCACAGCCUUCGAGGUCUGCACCCCAAGGCAGUGGGCUCUGGAGUCCCUGCCAAAGAGCAUUGGGAGUUCAUUAGCCAGUUCAGCGCUAAGGAAAGCUGGGGUCUCGGUUGCUCUUCAAGGAUUUUCUUAACCUCCUUAAUCCAGAUGUUCAUGAAAAUGGGGUGUUACAUGGACACAUAGAGGAGAACAACACACACUGGGGCCUUUGGGAGGGUGGAGGGUGAGGCAAGGGAAAGGAUAGGAAAAAUAAUGAAUGGGUACUAGGCUGCAUACCUGGGUGAUGAAAUAAUCUGUACAACAAAC
rnacentral:lncRNA from 1 species